AGGACGAACGCUGGCGGCGUGCUUCACACAUGCAAGUCGAACGGGGCUCAUUCGGUGGUAACACCGGAGAAGGCCUAGUGGCGAACGGGUGCGUAACACGUGAAGAACCUGCCCCGAAGACUGGGAUAACAGCGGGAAACCGCUGCUAAUACCGGAUGACCCCACCAGGCCGCAUGGCCAGGUGAGGAAAUGGGCCUACCGCUUCGGGAGGGCUUCGCGGCCUAUCAGCUUGUUGGUGGGGUAACGGCCUACCAAGGCUACGACGGGUAGCUGGUCUGAGAGGACGACCAGCCACACUGGGACUGAGACACGGCCCAGACUCCUACGGGAGGCAGCAGUGGGGAAUCUUGCGCAAUGGGCGAAAGCCUGACGCAGCAACGCCGCGUGAGGGAUGAAGGUCUUCGGGUUGUAAACCUCUUUCGAGCAGGGACGAUUGUGACGGUACCUGCAGAGAGCUCCGGCAACUACGUGCCAGCAGCCGCGGU
rnacentral:rRNA from 1 species